rnacentral:rRNA from 1 species
AGUGGCGCAAGGGUGUGUAACACGUGGGUAAUCUGCCGUGAAGUCUGGAAUAACUUGCUGAAAGGCGGGCUAAUACCGGAUGUGAAUGAAAAUUCAAAGUUGGGGACCGCAAGGCCUGACGCUUUACGAUGAGCCCGCGGCCUAUCAGCUAGUUGGUGAGGUAACGGCUCACCAAGGCUAAGACGGGUAGCUGGUCUGAGAGGACGACCAGCCACACUGGAACUGAGACACGGUCCAGACACCUACGGGUGGCAGCAGUCGAGAAUUUUUCUCAAUGGGCGAAAGCCUGAAGGAGCGACGCCGCGUGGGGGAUGAAUGGCUUCGGCCCGUAAACCCCUGUCAUUUGCGAACAAGUUGAUUCACCUAACACGUGAAGCAUUGAUUGUAGCGGAAGAGGAAGGGACGGCUAACUCUGUGCCAGCAGCCGCGGUAAUACAGAGGUCCCAAGCGUUGUUCGGAUUCACUGGGCGUAAAGGGUGCGUAGGCGGCCAAGUAAGUUUGAUGUGAAAUCCCGCAGCUUAACUGCGGAACUGCAUUGAA